GAUGAACGCUGGCGGCGUGCCUAAUACAUGCAAGUCGAGCGAACGGACGAGAAGCUUGCUUCUCUGAUGUUAGCGGCGGACGGGAGAGUAACACGUGGAUAACCUACCUAUACGACUGGGAUAACUUCGGGAAACCGGAGCUAAUACCGGAUAAUAUUUUGCACCGCAUUGUUCAAAAGUUAAAUACGAUCGUUCUGUCAGUUAUAGAUGGAUCCGCGUUGCAUUAGCUAGUUGGUAGGGUAACUGCUUACCAAGGCGACGAUCCAUAGCCGACCGGAGAGGAUGAUAAGCCACACGGGGAAUGAGACACGGGCCAGACUCCUACGGGAGGCAGCAGUGGGGAAUAUUGGACAAUGGGCGAAAGCCUGAUCCAGAAAUGCCGCGUGAGUGAUGAAGGCCUUAGGGUUGUAAAGCUCUUUUACCCGGGAUGAUAAUGACAGUACCGGGAGAAUAAGCUCCGGCUAACUCCGUG
rnacentral:rRNA from 1 species